UACAAUAAUUAAUAGAAUUAAUUGAUUUAGUAACUAUUAUUCACCACCCCUGAUUUAAGGACACCCCUGAAAUAAGGACACUUCAGUAGAUCCCAAUGGUGUCCGGAGUUAAGGGGUUCCACUGUAUAACUUUGUUAUAAUCUACAUGUAUCAGCAAGAGCCAAGAGCAGGCAUACUGGAGCAUGCAUACUGCUCCAGACUAUGGAUACUGGAGGCUCCAGUAUCCAUAGUAUCAGAUUGCGACGUCAAAUUGUCAGUGUUUUGCUCUUAUUUCUCUUGGCCAUUAUGUCUUCCAAUGCUCUUUCACUAAACGAGCCCUCAAUUCUUUUAAGUAAUGAGGAGAAUCAGCUCAUUUUCACUAGGGCAAGGAAGUGACAAGACUGAGCUACUCGAGGAGCUACUGCUGUGAUUCAGAUGUAUCAUGCUGAUCCAAAUCCAAACAAGUGGGAGAAGUUGAGUACAGGUGUUGUUUGCUUUGUGAAAGACAAUUCUCAAAGAUCGUAUUUCAUCCGGCCCAUUGAUCUAAAGAAGUGUGCUGUGGUUUUUGAGCAAGAGCUGUAUGAUGAGUUUUGCUAUUCAAAAGAUUGUCCUUCACUCAUUCCCUGGACAUAAUUCAUGGUUGGUCUCAACUUUGCCAGUGAAGAAGAAGCUGAGGAGUUCCGUGCUGCUGUUGAAAGCAAAAUCACUUAUGCACGAAGAGCAACCAUGAAGAGGAAGCCUCCUUCUGAGCCUAAGAAACCAGUCAAUGCAGUUGCCCCUGGUCCUGUGGCUAAUAAGGAUCCAUACAGUUUAGGGGGUGAUGACUCUGAUAAAGGGAAAGUUUGCAAACCAAAAGGAGGAAAGAAAUUGACUAAAGCAGACAUUGGGAAAGCAACUGAAUUCAGGGUGUGACAAAUCAGGUGUCCUAUUCUGAAAACAUUUGUAACGUCCUUAAAAUAGAGUCCAAAAUAGAAGGAGGUUGCCCUGUGCUCUUAGACAAAGAGCAGGCAUAGAAAGGUAUUCUCUGUAUCUGGAGACAGGAUGAUAAGCUGCUCACUUUCUCCAGGAAGACAAGAAGGAGGCUGAACUAUUGCUUCCUGUUUUCAAAGCAUUUCCUAGUGACACAGAGAGUGGAGAAGAAAGGAGAAGAAGGAUACCGUCUGUUGAAAGAGAACGGGUUGCUCUCACUCGCUAAGUGCAGGAUACAUGAACAUGCCCUCCCUGAGUAUCCAGAGUUACGUUUUCUCAGUUUUGGUCUUGAGAUUGAUGAUGGUUCACAGAGUCAGUCCAAGCAAAAGUUGAUAUUUAUUGCAAUGUCAGUGGC